GUGGGGAAUAUUGCACAAUGGGCGCAAGCCUGAUGCAGCCAUGCCGCGUGUAUGAAGAAGGCCUUCGGGUUGUAAAGUACUUUCAGCGGGGAGGAAGGUGUUGUGGUUAAUAACCGCAGCAAUUGACGUUACCCGCAGAAGAAGCACCGGCUAACUCCGUGCCAGCAGCCGCGGUAAUACGGAGGGUGCAAGCGUUAAUCGGAAUUACUGGGCGUAAAGCGCACGCAGGCGGUCUGUCAAUUCGGAUGUGAAAUCCCCGGGCUCAACCUGGGAACUGCAUUCGAAACUGGCAGGCUAGAGUCUUGUAGAGGGGGGUAGAAUUCCAGGUGUAGCGGUGAAAUGCGUAGAGAUCUGGAGGAAUACCGGUGGCGAAGGCGGCCCCCUGGACAAAGACUGACGCUCAGGUGCGAAAGCGUGGGGAGCAAACAGGAUUAGAUACCCUAGUAGUCC
rnacentral:rRNA from 1 species